GAUCAGUGAAAUAAUAAAAAAUUCCUAUUGAGCUGCAACGCAGAACACACACUCAGUGAGAAGAGCUCUUUAUUCUGCAGGUGGAAUGGGUGAGGAAGAAGGGACGCCGAUAGUUGGUCUCAGAAAACACCAAGAGGUGGAAUGGGUGAGGAAGAAGGGACGCUGAUAGUUGGUCUCAGAAAACACCAAGAGGUGGAAUGGGAGAGGAAGAAGGGACGGCGAUAGUUGGUCUCAGAAAACACCCAAGAGCUGAAACACAGAACACAUACUCAGUGAGAGGAGCUUUUUAUUCUGCAAGUGGAAUGGGAGAGGAAGAAGGGACGCCGAUAGUUGGUCUCAGAAAACACCAAGGGAUAGAAUGGGAGAGUAAUAAAGAACACCGAAAGUUGGCCUCAGAAAACAAGAAGAGGUGGAAUGGGAGAGGAAGAAGGGGCGCCAAUAGUUGGUAUCAGAAAACACCAAGAGAUGGAAUGGGAGAGGAAGAAGGAACACCUAAUGUUGGCCUCAGAAAACACCAAGAGGUGGAAUGGAAGAAGGGGCGCCAAUAGUUGGUCUCAGAAAACACCAAGAGUUGGAAUGGGAGAGGAAGAAGGGACGCCGAUAGUUGGUCUCAGAAAACACCAAGAGAUGGAAUGGGAGAGGAAGAAGGAACGCCGAAAAUUGUCUUCAGAAAGCACGGUUACAGGGAGAAUUUGGCCGUGGAAGACCACAAAACUUCACGUCGAGUGUCAAUUCGUUUGUAAUGGUUAUUGAGUUGCAUUUACGUAUGAUUAAACGUCGUCUCACUUUGA